CAGGACGUAGUUAAAUAGAAGAACAUCUCCCUUACACUGAGAAAACACCUGCGCGAAUCAGGUCGCCCUGC
rnacentral:tRNA from 1 species